rnacentral:rRNA from 1 species
GAUGAACGCUGGCGGCGUGCUUAACACAUGCAAGUCGAACGAGAAGUGAAGACGGAAACCUUCGGGCGGAAGGCUUUAUUUCGAGUGGCGGACGGGUGAGUAACGCGUGGGUAACCUGCCUCAUACAGGGGGAUAACAGUUGGAAACGACUGUUAAUACCGCAUAAGACCACAGCACCGCAUGGUGCGGGGGUAAAAACUCCGGUGGUAUGAGAUGGACCCGCGUUCGAUUAGCCAGUUGGCGGGGUAACGGCCCACCAAAGCGACGAUCGAUAGCCGAUCUGAGAGGAUGACCGGCCACAUUGGGACUGAGACACGGCCCAAACUCCUACGGGAGGCAGCAGUGGGGAAUAUUGCACAAUGGGGGAAACCCUGAUGCAGCGACGCCGCGUGAGUGAAGAAGUAUUUCGGUAUGUAAAGCUCUAUCAGCAGGGAAGAAAAUGACGGUACCUGAGGAAGAAGCCCCGGCCAACUACGUG